rnacentral:lncRNA from 1 species
GUUAUGGAUAAAAAUGGAAUUACAUGAAAGGAAAAAACAUCAUUUAAAAAACCUUAAAAUUCAAUUACUCAUGAAUAAACAUGGUUAAAUUUUGAAUAUAUGUAUAUUCAAAAGAGUUUGUCUCUCAAAUGAACUUUUUGAAUAUAUGUAUUCAAACUUUUUUCACAAGUUUUUCUGUGCAAAUGUAACCAUAUUUAAGAACAGGAAUUUGAUAACAUACUUCUUAUACCCUUGUUAACUGCUUUUUUGUGACAGACAUGGAAGGGCAAUCCAUGUCCAUCACUCUGAAUACACAUAACAAUAAAAAAGGCCACCAAGACACUAGUAAUCAAAUUAGAUAUAAAACAGUGAUUAAAAUGGUUAAUAUUCAUUGUUGACUUCCUAUAGUUCCAGACACUAUUAUCAGUGUUAAGCCUGUCAUUGUUCAUUUAACCUUCACUGCAACUGAGGAGGAGGGCCUAUUGAUGUUCCACUUUAACAUAAUGGAACUGAGGCACAGUUAGGGCAGGGAUAUUGAGUGGAGAGGCUUAGAUUUGAAAGUAGGCCAUGUAGCAAUCAAGCAAAGAUACCUAAUCAGUAUGCGCUACUGCCUCUCAUCAGAUAAGACCAGAUUUAUUGUUAAUCGGGCACAUAAAAAUGAAUGAAGCGGAGGUAACUUGUUUUUUCUCAGUUGACUAGGCAGAAAUUUAAAAUAUAUAUUAAAAAAAAACUUUAUGGUUUGGAAUUUGGGGAAAUGUGUCCUGUUAUACUACAAACAGUGUUGCUUGGCUCCUGUCUCCCUUCCUAAGUUUUAGGGAUGUUCCUCUUUUGCAUUGAGUGACUUUCCUAUAUGUGGGACAGCAAAUGCUUAUUUCCUAAUUAUUUUAUUAUUUUGUAUAUUUACAAGAGAAAUAGAUAUGUAUUAUAGGUAAAAGUAGAAAAUAUAGGAAGUAAUAUAAAAUAACAUUCCCCAAACAUAAAACCCAAGGUAAAUCCUGCUAAUGCUUUCAUCUAAUUAUAUUAUUUCAUAAGUUUUCUUAUGCAUGUGUUUAUUUAUACAUAUAUGGCUAAAUUUUUGUAUUUGUUUACAUAAUAUAGGAACUCAUUUUAGUUUUUUAACCUGCUUGUAUUAUUGUAGUGGGUUGAAUGAAUUACAUCUCCCAACAAAAUUUGUCCCAGAGUUAGCUCCCAGUACCUGUGAAAGCAGGUACUUAUUGGGGAAUAGGGUUUGUGCACAUGUAAUUUAGGAUCUUGAGAUGAGAUCAUCCUGGAUUUAGGGUGAGCUCUAAAUCCAAUGACCUUUUUUUUUUUUUUAAAAAAAAAAUAUUUUUAAUUGUAGUUGAACAUAAUAACUUUAUUUUAUUUAUUUAUUUUUAUGUGGUACUGAGGAUUAAACCCAGUGCUUCACAAAUGGUAGACAAGCACUCUACCACUGAGCCACAACCCCAGCCCCUGACCUCUGUUUUUGUAAAAGAAAUGAUAGAGAACUUUGACACCCACCCAGGCAGGAGGUCAUGUGAUUGAGACCGACAUUAGAGUUCUGCUGCCACAAACCCAGGGAAAUGGAAGCCACCACAAGCUGGAAGAGGUAAAGAAGGAUCUUCCUCUUUAAGUCUUCAGAGAGGGUGAGACCCUGUCAACCCACUGAUUUUAAACUUCCAGUUUUCAGAACUGUACAAGAAUAAAUUUCUCUUUUUUGCCAUGAAGUUUAUGGUAAUUUGUUAUGGCAGCCCUAGGAGAUGAAUAUGCUCAGUAACAAUAUAUCUCCAUGUUUUUGGUACUGGGGGUUAAACCCAGGAGUUCUUUUUUUUUUUUUUUUAGAGAGAGAGAAUUUUUUAAUAUUUAUUUUUCAGUUCUCGGCAGACAAAACAUCUUUUUUUGUAUGUGGUGCUGAGGAUCAAACCCGGGCCGCACGCAUGCCAGGCGAGCACGCUAUCGCUUGAGCCAUAUCCCCAACCCCCAGGAGUUCUGAACAAUGGAACCACAUCCCUAACCCUUUUUAUUUUUUAUUUCAAAACAGGGUUUCACUAAGUUGCUUAGGGCCUUGCUAAAUUGCCAAGGCUGGUUUUGAACUUUCGAUCCUCCUGUCUCAGCUCUUGAGUAGCUAGGAUUACAGACGUGCGCCAUCAUGCCCUGCAGUAACAACAUGUUACAAAUGUCAUUAUGAAUAAACACCAGUCUGUACCCUAUUUUAUCAUGACUGUAAAGAAAGUAAGAUCAAUAAUGAUUUGUAAAAACAAAUUUUAAAAUUGCCUAAAAUUUCUUAUGUAUCAUAUCCUCUUUAUGUAUUGAGGCAUUCAGUGCUUAGAGCACACUUACAAGAUGGGUACUAUUGUUAAUCCUCGUUAUAUAGAUGACAAACUGAGGGAUAGAGACAAUAAGGACUUGCCCAAGACUGCACAGUUGGGAAGUGGGACAGUUUGUAUUUGUACUCAGUAGUCAUGCUCGAGAGCCUGGUAAGUUUAUUGUUAAGAGGGCUGGGGUUGUGUCUCAGUGGUAGAGCACUUGCCUAGCAUGUGUGAGGCACUAGGUUUAAUUCUCAGCACCACAUAUAAAUAAAUGAACAAAAUAAAGGUUCAUCAACAUUUAAAAAAAUAUUAGAAAAAUUUAUUGUUAAGAGAGAGAAGCAGUUGAUUCAAACAUGCGUAUUUUAGGACAUCAUUAAAAAUAAUAGUCACUGUGUUAAUAUAUUUAUACGAACAAUUGUAUCUAGUAACAAGAAGGUGGUUUGUGACCUUGGAAAAUGUUCAUUGCAGUUAUGGGAAUGGAAGCCAAAUACAAUGGGAUAAGGAAUGAAUGGAAAAUGAAAUUUAUAAACAGGGAAUGUAGAAAUCCUUUUUGGACCUUUGAUUUGAAGGAGUAGGGAGAAAAAGGAAGUUAGAUAUUGAACCUGUCACUGAAUGGGUAAUGAGAUGCCCAGGAGGGAUUAUUGGAUAGCUUUAAUUUUUUGAAACUUACUUGAGCAAGUUUACAAGUUAACGUUGAAGAAUCACCUCAUCUCAGAUUUAAACCUUAAAGUUGCCCAUAUAUUUAUUUCUCUUCUCACACUUUCAUUUCCAUAAGGAGUUAAUGAGAUACCUCUAAUGGAAUAGUAUAGGUUAUGAGCACAAUACAUAUUUAGUUAUUAGCAAAUGAAAGAAUGGGCAAAUGUGUGAGAGAAUUGCUAGUGAAUCUUGGAUUUCUGUCUCUCCAGAAAUGGCUGAAAUCCUGGUGUCAUGUGGUUGGAUAAUGCAUCAUCUGAGGACCUUGCACUGAUGAGUUGCAGGAUGGGUCUAGAAGUUUCCUAUAAAUACAUGAACUGAGCAGUCCAGUAACAACCAUUAGGCAAACACCACACCUUUCUUCCCACUGUGACCUGUCACUGAGCUCACCAUAUUAGGUCACAGAUACUCCUAUCUUCCCAGUGUGAUGAACUAGAUUUGGGUUUGCUCAGAGCUGUGUUGUGAAACAGCUCUUAUCACAUUAUGAAAUACCCAAGAAGGUAGAUAAUCUCUGUCUCUAAAACUUUGAACUCAAGGCAUAUCAGAGAGAGAUUUGCAUUCUUUAUCUAGCUGCCUGUGUUCUCAGUAGGGGAAACAAUGAGGAAUGGUUUCACAAUACCUACCUUAGUCCUGAGGCUCAGCCAGCUCCUGUUUCAUGUCUCAACUUUAAAGUCCUGUUCUAUGUCAUGUUCUCUGGGCAGGUUUUCCUCAGGUCAACUGUAAAAACAUACAUUGUAUAUUUUUACAGUAUUGACAGUAAGGAUGGAAUGGUCAGGCCCAUUUCACAGAUUACCAAGCCAAGCUUAGGCUCACAAAGCCUAAAUCACUUCUUUAGGUAAAACGUAAGGACUGGUAGGAGAUUCUCUCACCCUCCCUAGAGGACUCUGAGCAUCAAAGCUGCAUUUUUCUCUCAGAUCAGAUGGGAGGCUGGAGCCAAUCUCAGUUUUAGAUAUCCUAGAUAGUGAUGGAUGCAGGAUGAUUCCUUCUGUUAGUUCAAUAAUUCCAGAAAACACUGGAAUUAGGACCAAGCUCCCAACAUGCAUCACUUCCUUCCCCUUUUUGAGUCACUCAAAGUUACAGUCUCCCUCAUGCUACCAGAUGAUACCCAUCUUUCUUUUCCUUCUCUUUUUUGCAAUACUGAUAAUUGCACCCGGGGCCUAGCACAUUCUUGGCAAGCUCAAACAAAAGCAAAAAGGACUGAGAUAGGAUCUUGCUAAGGGCAAGUUGCUUAGGGCCUCACUAAGUUGCUGAGGCUGACUUUGAAGUUGCCAUCUUCCUGCCUCAGCCUUUUGAGUUCUGGAAUUACAGGCAUGUGCCACCAUUCCCAGUCUUUAGUUUUUUCUUUUCUUUUUUUCAUGAAAAGGUAUAUGUUUUGUAGGGUAACAAAUAUGAUAAACUCGUAUUUGUUACCCUACAACAUAUACCUUUUCAUGAAAAAAAUGAUUCUAGUUCUGUUUGGAAAAUUCACAUGUAUAUCAAAGCAGUUCAAUUUGCUGUUGACCCCAAAUAUACAUGGCAUUAACUGAUUUAUCUCUUUCCCCUCAGUGUAGAUUGAAGUGUCAACACUAUAGAGGGUCCCCCAGUGACCAGAAUCCUCACCAUCCAUUACCCCACCCCUGAACAUGCUUCCCAGACCUUCUGACACCCACUCUCAGUCAUCCCUUUUCCUGAACCCUGGAUACAGCUGCCCAUACUGCUGACGCCCCCAUCCCCUUUUGGUCACUUCUUGUUAGGUCUGUGCUGCCCUAUGCUCACUGGUAAAUGCCAAGGCAUGCUAGAGCUAUUUGGAAUUUCGUUGUAUGUUUUUACAGUAUUCUUUUACACUUACCAGUUUUGGGAAAGAAAAAGAAUCAUUCUGUACAAGCUGGUUUCAAUGGCGGUAUCAUUUUUUCUGCUCAUUGUGUAAACUGCUUUGUGGAGAUAUUUGAUAAUGAUGGUAUGCUAUUGCCACCUCGUGACAGAAUUCUAAACUGCAGCUUUAAACUGCUAUUCAGGAAAGUAGGAGGGUGUGGCUUGCCCAAACCCACUCUGCAGAGCUUUAUGGAAAACUGGGUGAAAAAGGGGGUACUUCCAGUGUAUGGGUAUAUUGAUGACUCCAGACAAAAAGUGAAGACUCUCAUUAUUAUGAAGAGAAAUUCUAUGUGAGAGAAACAAGUGAUAUCUUAUUUUUAUGGCUAAAAUUCUCUGGAUAAAUAGAGACAUAUGUGAGAAAAUAUAAAUUCAGGUCACUGUGAUCUUUGUAACCUGCCUUUACCUUCAUUAUGACAAUAUUUAUAUGUAAAUGCAUUUCUGUGAAAAUAUUUUAAAUUGCAAUUUAGUUGUUUUUGAUUUUACAUCAAAUGAUCGUUUCAUCAUAUAGAUGCUGCCAAGUAUUUUACUUGUAUUGUUGCAUAAAAAUUUACUUCCUUUACCAUUUGUAUUAGAGACUAUAGUUUAAUAUUCUCAGACGCAAUAUCUUUAUUUUGACACAAUAUCUUUAUUUUAUUUUUAUGUGGUGCUGAGGAUCGAACCCGGUGCCUCACACAUGCUGGGCGAGCACUCUACCGGCGAGCACUCUACCACCGAGCCACAACCCCAGCCCUGAUGUAUAUUCUUUUAAAAUAUUUUUAGUUGUAGAUGAACACAAUACUUUAUUUUAUUUAUUUAUUUUUAUGUGGUGCUGAGGAUCGAACCCAGUACCUCACAAGUACUAGGCAAGCGCUCUACCACUUAUAGUCCCAGCCCACUAAUGUAUAUUCUUAACAACGUGGUAUGAAAGUAUCUGUUUCUUUACACAUUGGAAAUAAUAUGAAUUAUUGCUAAUCUGAUAGGUAACAUACCACCUCUCACUAUUGUUUCCAUUAUAACUUAUUUUUACUGCCCUCUAGAAUUCUAUCUUAUGGAUGUGAUAGUCACUUUUCAUAAUACUGUGUUAAUUGGGGUGUUCUGAUAUUCCUCAUUAUCAACCCUGUGGGAUGGCAUUACACCACUUGAAGGGCACAGUGUGAGGCAGAGUUCACAUGGCUGUUUGCAAGAUGAGAUGAAUAUGCUCUGUUUGAGCCCAGCAAACUGUCGUGGGAGAAUUCUAGUCAUACCAGAACCUGGUUUGUAUGUAUGUGCACGCUGACAAUCAUGCUUCCCUCUGCCUCUUUGUGGCUUUGCCUCCUAUUUAGCCUAUCUUUCUAAAUUCAGGCCCAGAAGUAGAGGAAGGGAGUUCUCAGGAUGGCAGUGUUUGUUAUUUUUUUCUUGUUUUUGUUUUUUUUAGGUAUAGAUGGACACAAUACCUUUAUUUAUUUAUAUGUGAUGCUGAGGAUCAAACCCAGUACCUCACACAUGUUAGGCAAGCAUUCAACCACUGUGCUGUAACUGCAGCCCUUCCUUCUGCUGCCUUUUUUUUUUUUUUGGUAGCAGGGAUUUAACUCAGGCCACUCAACCACUGUGACACAUCCCCAGCCCUUUUUGUAUUUAAUUUAGAGACAGGGUCUCACUGAGUUCUUAGGGCCUUGCGAAAUUGCUGAGGCUGGCUUUGAACUCAAGAUCCUUCUGCCUCACCCUCCAGAGCUGCUGGGAUUACAGGUGUGUGCCACUUCACCUGGCCUCCAUUUAUUAAUAUAUAUUUUUUGGUUGUAGAUAGACACAAGACCCUUAUUUUAUUUAUUUAUUUUUAUGCAUUGCUGAGUAUCAAAUUCAGUGCCUCACAUGUGCUAGGCAAACUCUCAACCACUGAACUGCAACCCCAGCUCCAGGAUGGCAGUGUUUAUAACCAGAUUCUUAUUCAUGGCCCUUACUAGGUCCUGAAAAUAGACUUCUAAAAGGGAAAUUGUUGGUGCAAAGGGUGUGCACCUAUGUGGCCCUUUGAUAAGUAGUGCCAUCCUGACAUUCAUGAAGGAAGUUCUAAUUUAGUCUCCCUAAAAUGGAAGCAUAUGGAAAAUAAAAGUAUGGAGAGGCAUGAGGAAAGUAAUAAUGCUGACUUCCUGUCACAGAGGGCAGGCCUUAGACUCUAUUUUGGACCAAUUCUUAAGUUACUACCAUAGUUGGAAGAUGUGAAAGAGAUCAGAGGUAAAUCAGGCUUUCACUACAAGGGCAACCUCAGGAAAUUUUUGAUUGUUCUUGGGGUAUAACAGAUGACCAGGGGCUGGGGGUGUAGAUCAGUGGUAGAGUGAAUGCUUGGCACAUGUGAGGCCAAGGGCUUAAUCCCCAUACCAAAAAAAAAAAAAAAAAAAGAAAAGAAAAGAAAAGAAAACCCUAGGCCAAAAAUCACAUUUUAAAAGCUUUCUUGCAAAUAUAAAGACAAUUAAAAUCACACAUUUUAAAGUUGGUAAUUUUUAGUAAAUAUAUUGAGUUGUGUACCUAUAUCCAUAAUGGACUUUUGGAUGUUUCUGUCACCUGAAAAAUUCCCAUUGUGUUUCAGUGCAGUUAAAUCUGCACCCACCCACCCCCAGCCACAUGAACUACAGUUAUGCUUUUUGUCUCUAUGGAUUUUCCUGUUCUUAGCAUUUCAUGUAAAUGGAAUUAUGAUAUUUGAUCUUUUGCAUCUGGCUUCGUUCACUUCAGAUAAUAUUUUCAAGGUUCAUCCAUAUUCUAGCAUGUAGAAUUCAUUUCUUUCUAUGGAUGAAUAACAUUCUGUUUUAAGGAUAUACUGUGUUUUGUUUAUCCAUUAAUCUUUGCAUAAUUUCCACUUUUUAUUAAUUGUGAAUGAUGGUGCUGUGUACACUUAUUACAAGUUUUGACAUAGACAUGUUUUUAUUUCUCUUGAGUAUAUACUUAGGAGUGGGAAUUGCUGGGCAUGUGGUGAUUCCAUGUUUAUCUAUUUGAGGAACUGCUAGAAUACUUUCAUGGCCCUGACAAUCAUGAGGCUUAGUCAGUUUUUCUCCAUGUUAGAUAAUUUUAUGAGUUUUGAGAAACAAUACCACAGAGUUGAAGCACCCUUCUUGCUACAUCAUAUCUGGUACUACAUGAUGCUUACAUGACAUAGUUUUCACUUGGUUAAGGCAAUGUUUUCUUAAGUUUCUUCUAGCAUACAGUAACAAUUUUCCAUUUGCCUAGAGAGCAUGUAGAGACAAGAAAGAAAAUGCUGGCGUGUUUCUCUUUUCACUGUGAAUCCAUGCCAUUUCUGUGUGGUGGGAUGAGUGUCCUAAUAGGGAAGGGGGUAGGGAAGAAGGGAAUUGAUUAUAUCAUAACCAUUCAUCUGAAGUCACUGUCUACCCCAUUUCUUCAUGUUUCCCAAAUUUUCCUGUCUCCUACUUUUAUCCCCUGUUUUACAUGAGAGAAGCAUAUUUCCUUGAGCUCCUGAAGGGAGAGAGCAAUCUUCAUGCUGUGUAUUCUGGAAAUGAUGCUGGAGCAAGACAGACAGAUCUCCCUGGGCAAGCAUUAUAUCCAAACCAGAAACUCUGGAACAUUCUUGACUUGGGGGUAAGUCUCUUCACUCUCUUAUCCUCACCUGGGAACACAUGUAUCUGUUGUGUGUGAGUGUCUUUGCUCUGUGGUAGAGUGGUGACAAAGAAAAUAGACAGGUGGGGACUAAGUUCUUGGUGAAUGAAUCAAUACCCAGGGCAGAGGCUCCAGUUCCUCUGUUUUGGAUUCUAUUCUCAUGUUGAGCAUUUAUCAUCUUUCUGUCCCUUCCCAGGGGUGACCUAGAUGCCUACUUUCUCUCUAUGUCGCCUACUGUCACAAAGGGGUAGGAAAAAUAGCAACGAGAGAGAGAGAGAGAGAGAGAGAGAGAGCGAGCGCGCGCCACACUGGAGGACCUGCUGUUCUCCUCUGUCCUGGAGGAGUUGGGAAAAAAAGAAGAAAAUCAGCAUCCUAUUUCCUCUUGUUGUAGAUACUAUCAUGUUCCCAAUUUUUCAGUACACUUAAACUCAUAGACCAGCCAACCCACGUGACACUAUAGUUAGGCCUCAUGGCACAAAGAUUUUAUCACCACCACCAUCUUUAAUAUGGGGGGUUGUCGAGUGAGUACUUACAUAUAGGGCAUAGUACUGGGAAAGUUGAAAAUGACCAUUUUCCAAAUGGGAAGCUGCUGGUUCUUUUGCAGGGAGAGCAAGAAAUGGAACCUCAUUUCUAUCCUGCCACUUAUCUGGAGAGAGUCUUAGACUUUGUGAGACUGAGCUUGGUCACAUGUGAAAUGGCACUCACCAUUCCUUCACACUGACAUCUGAUGGUAAAUAAGAAAUGCUGAAAAGUACCCAUGGGACACAGUGUGAGUCCUGUUUCCACUGCCUCUUCCCUCCCAGGAGGAGAUGUCAUUGGCCAAAGCUCAAAAGUGUAAAUGCAUAGAGAGCCUGUGCAAAGGGAGCAGCAAGCAUUGAAAUAGAUCCCAGAAUGUGUAAGCUUUGGGCCAGUGUCAAGCUGUGGUUUGUGUUACCUGAUGGUUGGGACAGAGGAAUAAAUUAUGGCACCAUUUCCUAUUAUUACAUAUGCUUGCUGUCCCCUUAGUUUGCCAUACUGUUUGAUACCAGAGGCGCAGUUUCCCAUUGAUUCUGAGGUAGAGCAGACAACAUGGAUGCUGGACCAAAGAUGAGAGUCAAGACACUGGACACCUCCCUGACUGCAGAUUCUUGGGUGAGUCACUUUCCCUGUGCUGGCCUCACCCUAGCACAGUGAUGCCCUAUAAUAGUGGCCUGAGCUCUGGGUCAAAAACCAGUUUCAGUCUGGACACCACUGAUGAAGUUUGAGUGAUUUUUUAAAAAAAUUGUCUUGAAUCUCCAUGCGGUAGGCAGAAUUCUAAGAUGACAUCCAAUGACCUUCACCCUUGUGUAAUCUCCUCCUCUUUGAGCAUGGUUUGUAUCUGUGAAUAUGAUAUGUGUUCCAUGAUUGUGUUCUGUUAUGUAGCAAAAGAGAGACUAUUUGGGUAGGCCUGACCUACUCAGUUAAGUUCUUUUUUUUUUUUUCUUUUUUUCUUUCUUUCUUUUUUUUUGGUACCGGGUAUUGAACUCAGGAGCACUCAGCCACUGAGCCACAUCCCCAGUCCUAUUUUGUAUUUUAUUUAGCGACAGGGUCUCACUGAUUUGCUUAGUGCCUCACUUUUGCUGAGGCGGGCUUUGAACUUGCAAUCCUCCUGUCAGCCUCCUGAGCCACUGGGAUUACAGGCAUGUGCCAUCACACUUGGCCUCAGUCAAGUUCUUUAAAAGUAUUUUUUUCUGGCUGUUCUAAGUAGGGGAAGUCAGAGAUUCACAACCCAGGAAGCAUUCAAUGCACCAUCAUUGGCUGGAAGAUGAAGGUGGCUAUACAGCAGAAAAUUGGACUAGUCCCUAGGAGCAAGGAACCUUCAUAGAUGACAGCCAUAAGGAAAAUGAAGACUUCAGUCCAGUAGUCACAAGUAAAUUAUUUCUGUAGCAACAAGCAUGAUAUUGGAAUUAGAUUACUCCCCAGAGGCUUCAGUUGAGACCUCAGUGGGACCUACACCAAUACCUGGAUUUUUCCCUAAGCACACAAUUAGGUCAUGCUGUGCCAGACCUCUGACCUAUAGAUCUGUGAGCUAUUGAAUGGGUGUAGAUGUUAGUCCCCACACAUGUGGGUACACAACUGCAGAAAAUUCAUCCAUUCCAGUUAAGCUGGAUUCAUACUCAUUGCAUAUAGAGUGUAUAUGUGUGCAGAUGAUACUUGGAGAGAAUAUAACACAUGAUAACUUUUACUAGUGCACGGUGAAGCUGAUGGUUAUGGAUAUAUUCAUAGUGGUAUCUGAAUUCAUUUCCCACAUUUACCAAGAGGAUGAUGGGCUACCUGUUAAUCAGAGAUAAAUAAAACCCAAUAGAGUUUUCUUAAUGUAAACAUAUUAGAAUUCAGACAUUUGAAAGGUAUAAUAAAUACCAUAAUAACCAGAUAUGUCCACAACCAAGACUGUAAAAUUAAACAUCAGAGUAAAUACACCUGGAUGACUUUUCUGAUGCCUUAUCCCCAAAAGGACCCAUUAUCCAAAAUCUGUUUUUGACAUUCUCCUGCUUUGCUCCACGUUUUACCCCUGUGACUAUAUCCCUAAACAAAACCCAUGGUUGCUUUACUUAUUUUAAGCUCUUACAUAAGUAGUAUAUUUAUAUUUAUAUACUACUUAUUGAUUUUUUCUUCACUGAACAUAAUGUUUUUGAAAUCUCUCUAAUAAUGCAGCUUUGGGGUUUUGAUAUUUUAGCUAAGCUUGGUGACCUGCUUGCAUAUUUGUCUGAGGCACUGAGUAUUCCAGUGUUCCAACCACUAACAGGCGUUUCUAGUGCUGAGGACAAAUCUGUGAAUUGUGGUUGCCAUAGAAACCAGAUGUCAUUAUGGCCACUAUGGUGACUGUGAUGACAUUUUAAAGGAGACCCACUUGCUAUGGUUGGAGAGCAGUGUCCCACCUUCAGGUGUUUGGACUCAGCAGAGGGUGUGGGUGCCCCACAAUGAGGAUUGAGGCAUGGAGAGACAAAGGCAUCUGAGACCCAAAUCACCUUGUUCCCACACUGGGUCUUGGUGCCCUGCUGACUCAAGAGGGAGAGAAAUAUGGAACCCUCCUGGCCCCAGGCAGUGUGGUGUACUGUGUGGAUAUUAUAGGAUCAUAGAUGCCUGUAUAAAUUAGACCACUUCUUAUUCAUUUUCAAAUUUGUUUUUAGCAGAUGAGAGAUAAGUAACAGAGAAUAAAAAGGUCCUGGUGAGAAGCCCAUUGUACCUCUGGUUGUAAUAAUCACUACCCAGUUGUACCAGUGCCUAGCAUGGUACUAGGUACACAGUUCCUCUUGUGAGGCACAGUGAUUCUUGGGUUCUCUUUUUUCCUGAGAAAUUCCUCUUGGGCUUAUUAUAUCAAAUGUCUGAAGGAGGCAGUUUCCGAGGAUCUGAGUGGUGAUGGCUGCUGAACUUCUACCCCACAUGUAAAUGCUGCAGUGCUCAGGAGACCCCUGGUGUGAUAUGAGUCUUGGUUCAUGUGAGUUCAUAGAGCUAAACAUAGUCAUGUUAUUGAAUAUUGUCUACAAGGUUCACAAAAUCAUAUAAAAGUAGACAAGCUCUUUUAACAUCAUCAUUUGAAGAAGAAAAUGGAGUUUUGUCCCAUUGGCAACUUAUAUGCUUUGUUGUAGCCCUUGAGGCUCAUUCAUCCUAGAGAUGGCUUCUUAGUCUGAAAGCAAUGAAUCCUUCAGCUUGUGGUAGGAACUUGAUAUUUAACAGGUAUGUUCAAUAAAUUUCAUUUACUUUUUGAUUAUAUGCAUAAAAAAACUGUGAUUCCUAUCAAAAUCUUCAGAUGAGUAUUGAAAUAUACAGUUGGUUAGAAGGCAUUGUGAAAUUGUAAUAUGGAAUUGAAUCAUCCUUGGUAGCCAAGUUUUAUGCAUUCUUAAAUUUUUGUAGAAACCAACUAUUAUCUAAGGAUUAGUUUAAUAUAAUUUUUAUGUUUUUCAAAAAUAUUAAUUAAAAUAGAAUUUAUCCUAUUGUAAUUCAGAGCUAUGUUGUUUAAAAUAACCAAAUACACUGAAUAUCAGUAUGAUUAUUUUAUCAGGUUGUACCAUUUCAGUUUUAGACUUCAGAAAGAAAUGUGCAUCACCUUUCCCUAAAUAUUUAGAUAGACCUCAUUGCAAAUGAUUGCUUCUAUUUUGGUCAUAUGUUGUAUGGAAAACUCAAAAAGACCUAGUGAUUAUCUAUUAAUAUGACAGGAUCAUCUUAGUGGAAAUUAUUCUAUUUAAAUGUAUUUCACCAAAUCUCUGAAGAAUACAAGCAUAUUUCCAAUACUUUAUUGAUGUAUGAUUCAUGUGUAAUUCACUGUGCGUAUUUAAAGUCUUUGCUGAAGUAUUGACAUCUGUAUGCACCAGUGAAGCCAACACUACAGCAAAGGAAAUAUAUAUCCAUCCCCCCAAAAAGUGUUUUCCUGCCCCUUUGCCAUCCUCAUACCCACAUAUCUCCUUCCAGCCUCCCUGCCUCUCCCACCCCUCCCCAUUUUCAAGCAACUACUGUUACCUCACUAUUGAUUAUUUUGUCUUUCUUAUAAUUUUAUGUAAGCAGAUUCAUAUAUGUAUUCACUUUUGUCUGGCUUCUUAUAUUCAACCUAUUAAUUUUAGAUUUAUCCAUAUUGUUUCCAUUUUAAUUGCUGAGCACUAUUCCAUUAUAUAGAUAUGCCACAAUUUGGUUUUAUCUAUCCACUUUAUUAUGGAUGAUGAGCUUUCAUUGUGUAUAAAUUCUCUCUCUCUCUCUCUCUCUCUCUCUCUAUAUAUAUAUAUAUAUAUAUAUAUAUAUAUAUGAUUUCUUUGUCUAGAGUACAUAACUAGGAAUGCAGUGGCUGGAGCCUAUGGUAGACAUAAAAUAAUUAUCGUCAGAAACUGCCAAAAUCUUUUCCAAAGUGGUUGUAUCAUUUUUCAUUCUCAUGAGCAAUAUAUGAGAGUUCAUUCUCCACAGCCUUGUCAACAAUUGGUAUGGUCAGUCUUUUUUAAUUUUAGCCAUGUUCAUGGGAGUGUAGUGGUAUCUCAUUGUAGUUUUCAUUUAUAUUUCUAAAACAAUGAUGUUGAACAUAUUUUCAUAUGAUUAUUUGCUAUUUAUAUAUAUUAUUUGGUGAAGUGUCUGUUCACAUUGUUUUCCUAUUUAUUUAUUGUGUCUUUUUUUCUUUUUAUUGAUUUCUAAUUUCUGGAUAUGUUACUAGUCAGACAUAUUACUUUCAUACACUUUUUUUCAAAGUUAUUUUAUUUCUUUAUUUAAUUUUGGUACUGGGUAUUGAACCCAUGGAUGCUUUAACAUUGAGCUACAUCUCCAGCCAUUUUUUUUUAACAUUUUGAGACAGGGUCUUGAUAAGAGGCCUAGGUUAGCCUCCAGCUUGCAAUCCUCCUGCUUCAGCCUCCCGAAUCACUGGGGUUACAGACAUGCAUCACUGUACCCAGCUUUUUCACAAUCAUUGCUUCUCUUUUCAUUAUCUCAACCAUGUUUUUGGAAGAGUAAAACUGUUUAAUUUUGAGGAGGACCAUUUAUAAUUUUCUUUCUUUAAAGUUAAGAUGCUUCUAUUGGUCUUAUCUAAGUUUUACCUAACCCAUGUUUAUAAGGAUUUUCUCCUGUGUUUCUUUACAGCAGCUUACACAUUUAGGUUUUAUGUUUAAGUGUCAGAUUCAGUUUGAGUUCAGUUUUGUGUGUGGUACAGUAUAUGUACCACAAUUCAUUUUUGGAUAUCCAUUUGUGCUAGAACCAUUUGUUGAAAAGACCUUCCUUUCUCUCCUUAAUUGCUUUUGCUCCUUUGUUGAAAAUUAGUUGUCCAUCCAGGAGUGAGUCUAUUUCUGGACUCUUUAUUCUGUUCCUUUGAUGUAACAGGGUUCCACUUCAUGCUUUGAGUGUAAACAUUGCUGCCCCACCACCACAGGUGGAUCACUUUAAAACUGGCAUUUUUUUUCUUAUUUUUCCAUUUUCUUCAUAUUUAUCCUCUCCACAUCCCUAAUGGCAGGGGAAACAAGACCAACAUUUUUCCCAGCCCACGCUAAGCUAUCAUGUCCUUCACACCUUGAACAAUAUCACUGUCCACAAGAAUAAAGCAACUCCAAACCUGGGAGCUGGAGCAACAGCUCUCUCAAGGACAUCCACUGGACACUAAUUACUUAUAUCUACUGAUAAUGUUUAUAUCCCAGUUCUUGUGUUCCUCCCUUAAAAUUCCUGUGUUCCCACAGGCAGGGAGAAUCAGCCUCUGGAACAGGAGUCCCCAGUGUUUCUACUUUGCUAAUAAAUCAAUAAAACUUCUUACUUUUUCUCAAAACCUGUCCUCAUUAUUAAAUCGUCAGUGGAGACAAGGACCAAGCUUUGGUAUCAUACUUACCUACCUUGAUACCAAAACCACAGUUUGAUUACUGUAGGUUUAUAAGGAAUCUUGAAAUCAGGUAGUAUUUGUCCUCUAACUUGGUUCUUUUUCUAAGUCAUUUGUUAUAGUCUAGGUCCUUUUUAUUUCUACAUGAUUUUAACAUCAGUUUAUAAAUUUCUUUUAAUUUUUUGUAGGACUUUUAUUGAGAUUGCACUGAAUCUGUAUAUUAAUUUGAGGAGAAGAGACAUCUUAACAAUUCUGAGUCCCAUGAAUACCAUUUGUCUUCCACUUCUUUGAGUCUUCCUUAGUUUUCUUGGCAAUAUUUUAUAGGUGGUAAGUGUACAAAUAUUUUACA